rnacentral:rRNA from 1 species
AGCGGCGGCGCCCUGUCGCUCACGGUGCUCGUAAUGCAGGCGCCGACGGAGAGCUACCGGUCCGAGGUCGCCGGUCACAUACGGAGGGAGGAGGCCUCCGGCCUGGGCAUCCGCUUCCAGCACCUCCCCGCCGUGGAGCCCCCGACGGACCACGUGGGCGUCGAGGAGUUCGUCUCCCGGUUCGUGCACCUCCACGCGGCGCACGUGAGGGCGGCCGUCUCCGGCCUGGCGUGCCCGGUGGCGGCGCUUGUCGUCGACUUCUUCGGCACCACGAUGCUCGACGUGUCCCGCGAGCUCGCCGUGCCGGCCUACGUCUACUUCACCGCCAGCGCCGCCAUGUACGCGCUCUUCCUGCGCCUGCCGGCGCUUGAUCAGGAGGUGGCCGUCGAGUUCGAGGAGAUGGAAGGCACGGCCGACGUGCCCGGGCUGCCGCCGGUGCCGCCGUCGGCCCUCCCGUCGCCGGUGAUGGACAAGAAGCACCCGAACUACGCGUGGUUCGUGUACCACGGCAGGCGCUUCAUGGAGGCCAAGGGCGUCAUCAUCAACACGGCGGCCGAGCUGGAGGCGAGCGUCCUCGCCGCCAUCGCCGACGGCCGGUGCACGCGCGGAGUCCCCGCCCCGACGGUCUACCCAUUAGGCCCCGUGCUCUCCCUGAGCCCGCCGGCGGAGCAGCCGCACGAGUGCGUGGUGUGGCUGGACGCGCAGCCUCCGGCGUCGGUGGUGCUCCUCUGCUUCGGCAGCGGAGGGUUCUCCGCCGCGCCGCAGGCGCACGAGGUAGCCCGCGGGCUGGAGCGCAGCGGGCACCGCUUCCUGUGGGUCCUCCGCGGCCCGCCGGCGGGCGGCGGCCGGGGGCCCUUGGACGCGGACCUGGAGGAGCUGCUCCCGGAGGGGUUCCUGGAGCGGACGAAGGGGAAGGGCAUGGUGUGGCCGACGAGGGCGCCGCAGAAGGAGAUACUGGCGCACGCCGCCGUGGGGGCCUUCGUGACGCACGGCGGGUGGAACUCGACGCUGGAGGCCCUGUGGUUCGGGGUGCCCAUGGUGCCCUGGCCGCGCUACGCGGAGCAGCACCUGAACGCGUUCACGCUGGUCGAAUACAUGGGCGUGGCCCUGGCCAUGGAGGUGGACCGGAAGAGGAGCAACUGGGUCGACGCGGCGGAGCUGGAGCGGGCCGUGAGGGUGCUCAUGGACGGCGACUCCGAGGAGGGGAGGAAGGUGAGGGAGAAAGCCAUGGAGAUGAAGAGCGCGUGCAGGACGGCCGUCGCCGAGGGAGGGUCCUCGUACUCCGCAUUGGGGAGGCUCUCCAAGGAGAUGAUCAAUGGCGCGAGUAGGUAA